AACUCGAUAUCGCUGCACCAAGGGAACCGGGGAACCAACCCCCUGCCAGUCCGGUGGGGAUGGGGUGAAUCGGCAAGUUCCGCCCGUGGGCGGGCAGUUCGUAGGAGACCUUCCUGCUCCGAACCCGUCAGCUAACCCGGUAGGCGAGAAGGAAGGAAAGG
rnacentral:sRNA from 1 species